rnacentral:rRNA from 1 species
GACGAACGCUGGCGGCGUGCCUAAUACAUGUAAGUUGAGCGCUGAAGGUUGGUACUUGUACCAACUGGAUGAGCAGCGAACGGGUGAGUAACGCGUGGGGAAUCUGCCUUUGAGCGGGGGACAACAUUUGGAAACGAAUGCUAAUACCGCAUAAAAACUUUAAACACAAGUUUUAAGUUUGAAAGAUGCAAUUGCAUCACUCAAAGAUGAUCCCGCGUUGUAUUAGCUAGUUGGUGAGGUAAAGGCUCACCAAGGCGAUGAUACAUAGCCGACCUGAGAGGGUGAUCGGCCACAUUGGGACUGAGACACGGCCCAAACUCCUACGGGAGGCAGCAGUAGGGAAUCUUCGGCAAUGGACGAAAGUCUGACCGAGCAACGCCGCGUGAGUGAAGAAGGUUUUCGGAUCGUAAAACUCUGUUGGUAGAGAAGAACGUUGGUGAGAGUGGAAAGCUCAUCAAGUGACGGUAACUACCCAGAAAGGGACGGCUAACUACGUG